CCCAGUCGAGGGGGAUAACAGUUGGAAACGAUGCUAAUACCGCAUACGCUCUACGGGGGAAAGGAGGGGACCUUCAGACCUUUCGCGAUUGGAUGAACCUAGGUGGGAUUAGCUAGUUGGUGAGGUAAUGGCUCACCAAGGCGACGAUCCCUAGCUGUUCUGAGAGGAUGAUCAGCCACACUGGGACUGAGACACGGCCCAGACUCCUACGGGAGGCAGCAGUGGGGAAUAUUGCACAAUGGGCGAAAGCCUGAUCCAGCCAUGCCGCGUGUGUGAAGAAGGCCUUCGGGUUGUAAAGCACUUUCAGUAGGGAGGAAAGGGUAUUGCUUAAUACGCAAUAUUUAUGACGUUACCUACAGAAGAAGCACCGGCUAACUCCGUGCCAGCAGCCGCGGUAAUACGGAGGGUCCGAGCGUUAAUCGGAAUUACUGGGCGUAAAGCGUGCGCAGGCGGUUAGUUAAGCCAGAUGUGAAAUCCCCGGGCUCAACCUGGGAAUUGCAUUUGGAACUGCCGAACUAGAGUCUUGCAGAGGGGGGUAGAAUUCCAGGUGUAGCGGUGAAAUGCGUAGAUAUCUGGAGGAACACCGGUGGCGAAGGCGGCCCCCUGG
rnacentral:rRNA from 1 species